UACGGAGGGGGCAAGCGUUGUUCGGAAUUACUGGGCGUAAAGCGUGCGCAGGCGGUUAUGUAAGACAGAUGUGAAAUCCCCGGGCUCAACCUGGGAACUGCAUUUGUGACUGCAUAGCUAGAGUACGGUAGAGGGGGAUGGAAUUCCGCGUGUAGCAGUGAAAUGCGUAGAUAUGCGGAGGAACACCGAUGGCGAAGGCAAUCCCCUGGACCUGUACUGACGCUCAUGCACGAAAGCGUGGGGAGCAAACAGG
rnacentral:rRNA from 1 species